rnacentral:lncRNA from 1 species
AGGGCCCAGGUUCCCCGCGCCCCAAACCGACGGGGACGGGGCUUGUGAAGCCCCUCAAGCCCAGAAUGCAUCGCGGCGGAUGUUUUGAAACCGAGGCUCCCGGAAAGUUGCCGGCGCGUGAAGGAACCUGGGAUUGAUUCUAGGGGACUUCUGGGAGAAAGAGGGCUCGCCAGGAGCAAAGGGGCGCAAAAUUCGAUUUCGCUGCAGGCGCUCAGCCUCUGGGAGGAAAGAGUCGGGGGAGAUGUUGAUCUCCCAGACCUUCCAUCCUGUUUGCCUCCUGGCGCUGUCAUUGCUGAGGUGCUGCUGAAAGAACCUGGUUCGCCUUGGAAUUUUAGUGGUGACUUCGAAUUUGAACUGGCCACUGCAUCAAGCUCUUCUUUUUUUUCUGGGAGAUAGGAUUGCUCUGGUGAUGAUACAUUGGGAUAAUUUUAACUGUUUUCUCCCAAGAGAAUGAUUUGGUAAUCAUUGGUUUGUUGCUUAUUUCUUGAUUUUAUGUGUUGUGCUUUGGUUAUUUUGCCUCAGAAAUUCACUCUCCAUAUCUAAAUCACUUUUAUUUGCUUUUCUGUACUUACAAUGAGCAAUCUUUUUCCUGAUUUUUCUUUUCUUUCUUUUUUUAGGCACAAAUAACUUUGUUUCAUCUCCUGGUUAUAUAUUAAAAUUGUUUUUCCAGGGAAUAUUCCAGGAAAACUUCUGUCAUUUUCGGUUUUAUUGUUUUUAUGUAACUAGAUGUUUCUGUAGGUCUUUUCAGACUAACUUCAUCUCUUGUACUUUACCUACUGCUGAAAUGAAAACAUUUUUGUUCAGUAUGUCUGUUGCUAAAUGUUAUGAUGUGCUGUGUGUUUAUAAGCAAGUCCUGAAGGCCUGUUAUGUGUAUAAUUAUAUGAUAUGUGUUAGUAUUUGAAAAAGUUGAUAAUCUUCCAUGAAUUUGAGUUCAUGCCUUUUGAUAUUUCUUGCAUAGUAUAUUAAAUUGUAUAGGGUUUUGCUUGCUGUAAUAGUGUUUAAUUUUGUUGCUUGAAUGAAUAUGAGUAUUAAAUUUGUCAUACGUGGAGCAGUCUUCUAAAAGAUGGGCCUUAAAGCAGUUGAAUGUACCGUGGUGGUGUGUUUGGUGUGGAAAAUCAUAGCGGUUGUCUAAUGCUAGACAUAGAUUCAGAAUAUAAGGAUAAAAAUAUUUUAAGGACACUGCACAGGAUACAAAGAGGUUUGAAUAUUGUACAGUCAAGGCUACAAACAUAAAAACAAGUAAGAAAAUUCAGGAAGUUUUCUUGGUAUUGCCUGAGUCACUGGAGCAAUUGGCAGUAGUAAGUAGUACCUGCAGCCACAGUCCAGACUCUGAGGAAGAAGAACUUCUAAAAAAUCUGCGACCAAUACUAAGCCAAGAAGGUUGGUCUACAAAGAA